rnacentral:lncRNA from 1 species
UAAAGGGGUUGAGACCAUAGUUAGUUAUAAAUACAUUAUUAUAUAAUAUAUUUUAGAUAUAUUUUAUUUAAUAAAUAUAAAGUAUAAUAAUUAAAUAUAUUAUGUGAACCUUCUAUAUUUUAUAUUUAAAUAUAGACUAUCUUAAUCUCUUAUAAUAUAGUUUGCUAUUUUUUUUACUUAAUUAGCUUAAUUUUGUAGCUAUUUAUUCUUAUAUUUUUAAAAAAUAUCAGUAUUUAUGGUAACAUAAAUCUUGAGAGAAAAAAACUUAAUUUAAUAGCCGAAUUUUUGAUCCCGAAUUUUUAAUUGGUGAACGUAUAAUAUCCGUAUAAAUUACGUAUCCGAAUAAUUACCGAAUCCGUAUUUUAGCCGUAUUUUUCAAUAAAUUUAAAAAGUAGAAGACGAAUUUUAUCCGAAUUAUAUCCGUACCGAAUUUAUGCCAAAUCCGAAUUAACUAACUAUGUCCUAUACUGAUGCGGAGGGGUCUACGUGAGUUAACUUUUCAGACGGUUAGCGAGUUGGUUUGUUUUAUUUAUUUUUGGGAAAACUUCAAAACCCUCAUGUGGUUUCACAUUUUUUUAUUUUAGUACCCUGUGGUUUAAAGUGUAUCAAGUUAGUACCCUGUGAUUUAAAGUGCAUCAAGUUAGUACCUUGUGGUUUUGCACUUUAUCACUUUAGUACCCUGUGGUUUCACACUUUAUCACUUUAGUACCCUAUAGUUUAAAAAAUCACAGGAUACUGAUUUGAUAUAAAAUUAAAACCACAGGAUACAAAAGUGAUAAAGUGCAAAACCACAGGGUACUAACUUGAUACACUUUAAACCACAUGAUAGUAAAGUGAUAAAGUAAGAAACCACAGGGUACUAACUUGAUACAUUUUAAACCACAGAAUACUAAAGUGAAAAAAAUUGAAACCACAAUGGGGGUUGUUGAAGUUUUCCCUUUAUUUUUUUACGUAUGAUGAUUGGAAGUGCAGGAACUGUGCAGUAAGUGACCCUUUUGAUGGGGCUUUUUUAUAAAAUAAUCUUUUAAAAUUUUAUUAUUUGCAAAAAAAUCUUACCAAAAUUAUAUUAAAAAAAAAUAAUCUCUUAAAGACGGUGAAUGAUUCACCGCUUUCAUAAAGAGCCUAAUUUCUUAGUGAUCCAANAUAUAUAAAGUUGAGGGAUUCAAAUCAUAGUUAGUUAAUUCGCGAAUAAUUCGCGAAUUAUUCGCGAAUUUUUGGAAAAGCGAAUUAAACGGCCGCAUCAGUAUUUUUCGAAAAAAUUCGAAAAAAAACGCGUUUUUUUCGUCAAAAAUAAUUAUUCGCGAAUGAUUCGCGAUUCAUGAAUGAUUCGCCUCAAAAAAACGGGGCUGGCGGUCGCUCACUCGCGGAUCGCGGCUUCGCCGAAGUCGUCCGUGUCGUAGUCCUCCUCCUCCGCCACCCUGGCCGUCGCCGGGUGCAAGAGGGCCGCGGCGGCGGAUCACAUCUCGCCCGAGGGCGUCAUCUCGUGGACAAAUUAGUCUUCGUUUUCCGCUUCAUUUAAGCGGAAAAAGAAAAGCUACAGGAAAAAUGGCGGGGUUCAUGCUGCGGGGCUCAUGCCAUUAUGCACGCGGUCCAUGAGGUGGGCUUCACCUCGUGGACCGCCUGAGAGAGAGAGGUCCACUGGACUAACUAUGGUCCACUGGACUAACUAUGGUCCUCGUGGACCGCGCAGGAAUAAAGGGGUUGAGACCAUAGUUAGUUAUAAAUACAUUAUUAUAUAAUAUAUUUUAGAUAUAUUUUAUUUAAUAAAUAUAAAGUAUAAUAAUUAAAUAUAUUAUGUGAACCUUCUAUAUUUUAUAUUUAAAUAUAAAUUAUCUUAAUCUCUUAUUUUCUUAAUUAUUUAUUUAUUUUGGGACGUAAUAUAGUUUGCUAUUUUUUUUUACUUAAUUAGCUUAAUUUUAUAGCUAUUUAUUCUUAUAUUUUUAAAAAAUAUCAGUAUUUAUGCUAAUAGCAUCAAUCUUGAGAGAAAAAAACUUAAUUUAAUAGCCGAAUUUUUGAUCCCGAAUUUUUAAUGGUUGAACGUAUAAUAUCCGUAUAAAUUACGUAUCCGAAUAAUUACCGAAUCCGUUUUUUAGCCGUAUUUUUCAACGAAUUUAAAAAUUAGAAGACGAAUUUUAUCCGAAUUAUAUCCGUACCGAAUUUAUGCCCAAUCCGAAUUAACUAACUAUGAUUCAAAUCCAAGCCAUCUAAAUUUUCCAAGAUAAGACCCAC